UACAGAGGGUGCAAACGUUGCUCGGAAUUAUUGGGCGUAAAGCGCGUGUAGGCGGCUUGUUAAGUUGGUUGUGAAAACCCAUGGCUCAACCAUGGAAGGGCGUCCAAAACUGGCAAGCUAGAGUCCCGACGAGGAUGGCGGAAUUCCCAGUGUAGAGGUGAAAUUCGUAGAUAUCGGAAGGGAACAUCAGUGGCGAAGGCGGCAUCCUGGACCAUUACUGACGCUGAGGCGCGAAAGCUAGGGAGCAA
rnacentral:rRNA from 1 species